GUACACGCUGUGACUAGCAUAUCAAUAAGCGGAGGAAAAGAAACUAACAAGGAUUCCCCUAGUAACGGCGAGUGAAGCGGGAAGAGCUCAAAUUUGAAAUCUUAAAGGGUUUCCCUUUACGAAUUGUAGUUUAAAGAAGUGUUUUCUGUUGAGGUUUUGGUAAAAGUUCUUUGGAAUAGGACAUCAUAGAGGGUGAGAAUCCCGUAUUUGACCUUUACUUUCAACUUUGUGAUACACUUUCAAAGAGUCGGAUUGUUUGGGAAUGCAGUCCAAAAUGGGUGGUAAAUUUCAUCUAAAGCUAAAUAUUGGCGAGAGACCGAUAGCGAACAAGUACCGUGAGGGAAAGAUGAAAAGAACUUUGAAAAGAGAGUUAAACAGUACGUGAAAUUGUCAAAAGGGAAGCGUUUGACACCAGUGUUGUUUUUCUGAAAAUCAAUUAAAGAACUGUUUAUGCUAAGUUGUUUAGACUUUAUCAGCUAUCUGUUUAGUUUUGAGCUUUUCUUUAAUGCACUUUUCAGUUAACAAGUCAACAUCAAUUUCUUUUGCUGUAAAAAAGCUUGAGGAAGGUGGCUUGAGAUUCGUCUUAAGUGUUUAUAGCCUCUUGCCUAUGCAGUCGGAGAGAUUGAGGUCUGCAGCGUAGAUCCUUCGGGGCUAAAUGCAUUUGUGCUAAGUUAUAACAUUUUAUAGACAACUUGUUGACUAUGAUUUGUCUUGUAGCUUACUCGCUUAUGUUAUUUUACCUACGCUUAGGAUGUUGACGAGACUGUCGAUCUC
rnacentral:rRNA from 1 species